CUGUCCUAUGGGGCGCUCUGUGGGGUUUCGGUCGUUUUGGGGUCGGGUUGACCUCUGACCUUUGGGGUCGGGAUUUGGGGUGGGUUUGGGAUUGGGAUGGAUCGGGAUUGGGAUCAGGAUUUAGGGUCGGGAUUAGGGUUGGGAUUGGGAUCAGGAUCUGGAUUGGGAUUAGGGCUGGGAUUGGGAUCAAAAUCGGAGUCAGCAUUGGGAUUGGGAUCGGGAUUGGGGUCAGGAUUGGGAUUAGAAGUGGGAUCAGGAUUAGGAUCUGGGAUUGGGAUUGGGAUCUGGAAUCAGGAUUGGGAUCCAGAUCCAGAUUAGGAUUGGGUUCAGGAUUGGGAUCCAGACUGGGGUCAGGGUUGGGAUCAGGAUCAGGAUCCGGGAUUGGGAUUGGGAUUGGGAUUGGGAUUGGGAUCCAGAUCAGGAUCCGGAAUCAGGAUCUGGAAUUAGGAUUGGAUUCGGAAUCCGGAUCCAGAAUCAGGAUCGGGAUCUGGGAUUGGGAUUGGAUCCAGAAUCAGGGUGGGGAUCCGGGAUUGGGAUUGGGAUCCGGAUCCAGAUUGGGAUCCGGAACCAGGAUCUGGAAUUAGGAUCGGGAUCCGGAAUCAGGAUCGGGAUCUGGGAUUGGGAUUGGAUCCAGAAUCAGGAUCGGGAUCCGGGAUUGGGAUUGGGAUCCGGAUCCAGAUCAGGAUCUGGAACCAGGAUCUGGAAUUAGGAUCGGGAUCCGGAACCAGGAUCUGGAAUUAGGAUUGGGAUUCGGAAUCGGGAUCGGGAUCAGAUUUGGGAUCCGGAUCCGGGUCAGGAUCCGGUUCGGGCCCUGGGUUCCUUGGCUCCGCUUUGGGGUGGGCCCCGUUGUGGGGUCGC
rnacentral:lncRNA from 1 species